AGAGUUUGAUCAUGGCUCAGGAUGAACGCUGGCGGCAUGCUUAACACAUGCAAGUUGAACGGAUUUGGUGUGGUUUCUGUUUGACAGAUUUCACAUCAAAUGAGUAGCGGACGGGUGAGGAACACGUAAGAACCUACCCUUCGGUGGGGGAUAACAGCUGGAAACGGCUGCUAAUACCCCAUACGCUGAGGAGCGAAAGACGUACGUCGCCGAGGGAUGGGCUUGCGGCUGAUUAGCUCGUUGGUGGGGUAAUGGCCUACCAAGGCAACGAUCAGUAGCUGGUCUGAGAGGAUGAUCAGCCACACUGGGACUGAGACACGGCCCAGACUCCGACGGGAGGCAGCAGUGAGGAAUUUUCCGCAAGGGGCGAAAGCCUGACGGAGCAAUGCCGCGUGGAGGAUGAAAGCCCGUGGGUCGUAAACUCCUUUUCUCGGAAAAGAAAAUUUGACGGUAUCUGAGGAAUAAGCAUCGGCUAACUCCGUGCCAGCCGCCGCGGUAAUUC
rnacentral:rRNA from 1 species